UACGUAGGGGGCAAGCGUUGUCCGGAAUCAUUGGGCGUAAAGAGCGUGUAGGCGGUUCGGUAAGUCGGCUGUGAAAGUCCAGGGCUCAACCCUGGGAUGCCGGUCGAUACUGCCGGACUAGAGUUCGGAAGAGGCGAGUGGAAUUCCCGGUGUAGCGGUGAAAUGCGCAGAUAUCAGGAAGAACACCCGUGGCGAAGGCGGCUCUCUGGUACGUGACUGACGCUGAGACGCGAAAGCGUGGGGAGCGAACAGG
rnacentral:rRNA from 1 species